rnacentral:lncRNA from 1 species
AUGACUGCCCAGCCCCACAGCAUCCCUCUGCUGUGGUUCGGCUUCCUGCUGCCGUCCAGCCCCACAGAGUGCCCCAAGGACCAUCCAGCCCCACAACAUCCCCCUGGUGCCAUCCAGCCCCAUGGCAUCCCCCAAGGACCGUCCAGCCCCACGGCAUCCCCCAAGGACCGUCCAGCCCCACGGCAUCCCCACACUGCUCUCCAGCCUUAUACCUUUCCCUUCUACUGUCCAGCCCCACAGCAUCCCUCUGCCACAGUCCAGCCCCAUGGCAUCCCCCCAGCAGUGGUCCAGCCCAUCUAUGGGGCUCCAAACCCCCCUGCUUUUUUCCCAUUCGCUCACCCCACAGCUGCUAAUUUGGGGCUGGGGGGGCCUCAGGGGGCCCCACUGCACCCCCAUCCCCUGGCUGCUCCCCCUGCUUGGCCCCACGGCCCCCCCAAUGCCUCCCCACGCCCAGGGCGAUGCCGGGGGUCCCCGCAGUGUGUAUAUAUGUACAGGACGCGCAGAUGUCUCAAUACGGGUGCCCCCCAACCUGCUCCGUCCGGGGGGGCUGCACUGGAGGGGGUGGGGGGAGCCGCCCUUGCUGCCCGACCCCGGGGCGACUCCAUGGUAAAGCAGAGCUGUGACCUCUCCCCGUCUGCUGUCUGUGUCCCCGCGUGGGGCAGAGCCAGUGUCCCCCACCCCUGGGGACAGCCCCACAGGGUCCUCCUGCCACCACCACCCCCCAAAUCGACCCCACUUGGCUUACCGAACCAGGGGGGGUGCCACGAGGGGCUCCUGUCCCCAAGCGCUGGUGUCACCUCUGCCAACUCCAGUGGGGACGCUGGGGGUGCCACCACUGCCAUGUCCCUGUCCCCAGCGCCCCGGUGGUCCCAUGGGGAGACGUCCCUUCAGGGACACGGUGGCCCCGCUUACAAGGCGGGGAGACAUGGAGGCCAGGCAGAGCCAUGGCGACCCUCUGGCAUGUGUGCCCGUCACCACUGCCUCGGCACAGACAAGACAUGGCCCAAUUAG